UGCCUUUGCGAGAGCGGAGUUGGGUUCUCCUCAGCACAGACGCGGAGAGCAUCGCGAGGGCGGAGCUGCGUUCUCAUCUGCACAGAUUUCAGUGGUACUGCGAAGGCGGAGCAGAGUUCUCCUCAGAUGAUGAUUAUUCCCCACCUUCUAAGAGACAAAGACCAACGAGCCGCCACAGCCACCAGUCCCAGAACCCGCCAAUGCUGGGGAACGGAAAAUGAGGGAGUUCAACUCUGGCCCUCACAAUCCAGUGGAGGAGACGCAACUCAUCUGCCUCUGUCCCUCUGGGCACGCCUCGUGCCAGGUGCAUCUGUGGACAGGGGCCAUGCUCCUGGGCUUCCAAAGUUGGAGAAAGCUGCCAGGCUCAGGUCUGAAGGCCAGAAUUCUACAGUAAGUCCUACUGAGUCAAGGUGGGAGCAGGGUCGGUAGCUUCCGAGGCUCUGCGGGAGAAUCUGUUUCCUGGCCGUAGAGGUGGCCUGCACUCCUCAGCCUGUGCUGCCCGUCUCGAAUGACUGGAGUUUCCUGCUUCUGUCACUACACCUCCCACCCUCUCCAUCACCUGCUCUGCUCUUACAAGGAUCCGAAGAAAUGGAAUCAUCGUAUCGCUGAUCUACGUAAACAAACUGAAGAAUUGUCUGAAAGAAAAUAUGACAUGAACUUAUGAAUUCAAUAGGUGAAGAUUUACAACUUGAUAAAUCAACUUUGUCAGCUCGAGCUGUAAAAGCCAAAGGUCCGGUGAUGAUCCCAUACCCUUUUUUCCAGUCUCAUGUUGAAGAUUUUUAUGUAGAAGGCCUUCCCAAAGGAAUUUUUUUUUUUUUUUUUUUUUUGAGAUGGAGUUUUCACUCUUAUCGCCCAGGCUGGGGUGCAAUGGCACAACCUUGCUGGUCACUGCAACCUCUGCCUCCUGGGUUCAAGAAAUUCUCCUGCCUUAGCCUCCCAAGUCACUGGGAUUACAGGUGCCCACCACCACACCAGGCUAAUUUUUGUAUUUUUAGUGGAGAUGCGGUUUCACCAUGUUGGCCGGGCCAGUCUCGAACUCCUGACGUCAAGUGAUCUUCCCGCCUCGACUCCUGAUAUCAAGUGAUCUUCCCGCCUCGGCCUCCCAGAGUGCUGAGAUUACAGACGUGAACCCAUGCCUGGCCAGGAAUUUUGUUUUUUAGGAAGGCUUUCUACUAAUGGAAUUCCUGGCCUUGAGAGGAUGUUACUUUAGAAGGAAAGGAUUUUUUUGUUAUUAAAAGAGCCACCUAAGCUGAAGAUUCCCUUGAGAACAAGUACUGUCCCUAGUUUCCCAGUGCUGGAAUAUAGAAAAUGGAUGGACAACUGGACCUACCAUGAAAGACUUCUGAAUCCAGGAAGAGAAACUGACUGGGCAACAUGUUAUUCAGAUGGGGUCUUCUUAUGUUGCCCAGGUUGGUCUCAAAUUCC
rnacentral:lncRNA from 1 species